GAAGUUAGUGGCGGACGGGUGCGUAACGCGUGGGUAAUCUGCCUUUGUCAAAGGAAUAACUAUUCGAAAGAAUAGCUAAAACCGUAUAACAUAUUAAUAGGGCAUCCUAAUAAUAUCAAAACGAUAGUGGACAAAGAUGAGCCCGCGUCUGAUUAGCUAGUUGGUGAGAUAAAAGCCCACCAAGGCAACGAUCAGUAGCCGACCUGAGAGGGUGAACGGCCACAUUGGAACUGAGACACGGUCCAAACUCC
rnacentral:rRNA from 1 species